GACGAACGCUGGCGGCGUGCCUAAUACAUGCAAGUCGAACGCAGUGGGGACGGGUGAUUAACACGUGGGUAACCUCCCAUCAGAGGGGAUAACACUUGGAAAAAGGUGCUAAACCGCUACUGAUGGAUGGACCCGGAGUGCAUUAGCUAGUUGGUGGGGUAACGGCUCACCAAGGCCACGAGGCAUAGCCGGUCUGAGAGGGUGACCGGCCACACUGGGACUGAGACACGGUCCAGACUCCUACGGGAGGCAGCAGUAGGGAAUCUUGCGCAAUGGACGAAAGUCUGACGGAGCAACGCCGCGUGAGUGAAGAAGGUUUUCGGAUCGUAAAACUCUUUUGUUAGAGAAGCGGUAUCUAACCAGAAAGCAACGGCUAACUACGUGCCAGCAGCCGCGGUAAUUC
rnacentral:rRNA from 1 species